rnacentral:tRNA from 1 species
CGGGAUAUAGCGCAGUUUGGUAGCGCGCUUGAAUGGGGUUCAAGAGGUCUCGGGUUCGAAUCCCGAUAUUCCGACCA